CACGAUCCAAAUCGUCCAUUUCUUUUCGAAAGUUUACGCUGUUGGUUGCAGUUGCAGGUUACGUUGAUUUCUUUCUUAAUUAGCACAAGUUUAUUCACAUAUAUAAAUGUGACCAAAAUUAGUUGAAAUCCGGAAUGUAGUUAUUUAACGCAGGCAUGUUGAUUUUUAAAUCAAAUGCCUACAGUAUGAAUUUUUAACUUCAUUGUGUAACCACGUGUACGGUUUUAAGGAUCCACGAUUAAAUACCGUGCAACAAAAACGGAAAUCGGAAUAUGCUUUGCUAAAGCGAUUGAAUAUACAACGCAUUUGCUGACACGCAUUCACGGAACUUUCUGCAAUUUAACAGGUGCUACCCAAAUACAGGUUGCUGUGUGAUCUUCAGGCAGACGAAAGAUAUAGGCUCAAGAUUUUUAGAAUCGAGCGGUCGAGUCGGAGCGGAUCGGUUUAUAAGAAUCAAUCGGCCAGAUUUAUGGAAAAACAUUGAAUAAAAAUGAAU